GCAGUCGAACGGCAGCAUGAUCUAGCUUGCUAGAUUGAUGGCGAGUGGCGAACGGGUGAGUAAUACAUCGGAACGUGCCCUGUAGUGGGGGAUAACUAGUCGAAAGAUUAGCUAAUACCGCAUACGACCUGAGGGUGAAAGUGGGGGACCGCAAGGCCUCAUGCUAUAGGAGCGGCCGAUGUCUGAUUAGCUAGUUGGUGAGGUAAAGGCUCACCAAGGCGACGAUCAGUAGCUGGUCUGAGAGGACGAUCAGCCACACUGGGACUGAGACACGGCCCAGACUCCUACGGGAGGCAGCAGUGGGGAAUUUUGGACAAUGGGGGCAACCCUGAUCCAGCAAUGCCGCGUGUGUGAAGAAGGCCUUCGGGUUGUAAAGCACUUUUGUCCGGAAAGAAAUCGCACUUACUAAUAUUAGGUGUGGAUGACGGUACCGGAAGAAUAAGGACCGGCUAACUACGUGCCAGCAGCCGCGGUAAUACGUAGGGUCCAAGCGUUAAUCGGAAUUACUGGGCGUAAAGCGUGCGCAGGCGGUUGUGCGAGACCGAUGUGAAAUCCCCGGGCUUAACCUGGGAAUUGCAUUGGUGACUGCACGGCUAGAGUGUGUCAGAGGGGGGUAGAAUUCCACGUGUAGCAGUGAAAUGCGUAGAGAUGUGGAGGAAUACCGAUGGCGAAGGCAGCCCCCUGGGAUAACACUGACGCUCAUGCACGAAAGCGUGGGGAGCAAACAGGAUUAGAUACCCUGGUAGUCCACGCCCUAAACGAUGUCAACUAGUUGUUGGGGAUUCAUUUCCUUAGUAACGUAGCUAACGCGUGAAGUUGACCGCCUGGGGAGUACGGUCGCAAGAUUAAAACUCAAAGGAAUUGACGGGGACCCGCACAAGCGGUGGAUGAUGUGGAUUAAUUCGAUGCAACGCGAAAAACCUUACCUACCCUUGACAUGCCACUAACGAAGCAGAGAUGCAUUAGGUGCUCGAAAGAGAAAGUGGACACAGGUGCUGCAUGGCUGUCGUCAGCUCGUGUCGUGAGAUGUUGGGUUAAGUCCCGCAACGAGCGCAACCCUUGUCUCUAGUUGCUACGAAAGGGCACUCUAGAGAGACUGCCGGUGACAAACCGGAGGAAGGUGGGGAUGACGUCAAGUCCUCAUGGCCCUUAUGGGUAGGGCUUCACACGUCAUACAAUGGUGCAUACAGAGGGUUGCCAAGCCGCGAGGUGGAGCUAAUCCCAGAAAAUGCAUCGUAGUCCGGAUCGUAGUCUGCAACUCGACUACGGAAGCUGGAAUCGCUAGAAUCGCGGAUCA
rnacentral:rRNA from 1 species